UGGGGAAUAUUGCACAAUGGGCGCAAGCCUGAUGCAGCCAUGCCGCGUGUAUGAAGAAGGCCUUCGGGUUGUAAAGUACUUUCAGUGGGGAGGAAGGUGUCAAGGUUAAUAACCUUGGCAAUUGACGUUACCGACAGAAGAAGCACCGGCUAACUCCGUGCCAGCAGCCGCGGUAAUACGGAGGGUGCAAGCGUUAAUCGGAAUUACUGGGCGUAAAGCGCACGCAGGCGGUUGAUUGAGUCAGAUGUGAAAUCCCCGGGCUUAACCCGGGAAUUGCAUCUGAUACUGGUCAGCUAGAGUCUUGUAGAGGGGGGUAGAAUUCCAUGUGUAGCGGUGAAAUGCGUAGAGAUGUGGAAGAAUACCGGUGGCGAAGGCGGCCCCCUGGACAAAGACUGACGCUCAGGUGCGAAAGCGUGGGGAGCAAACAGG
rnacentral:rRNA from 1 species